rnacentral:rRNA from 1 species
ACUCCUACGGGAGGCAGCAGUGGGGAAUAUUGCACAAUGGGCGCAAGCCUGAUGCAGCCAUGCCGCGUGUGUGAAGAAGGCCUUCGGGUUGUAAAGCACUUUCAGUCGUGAGGAAGGUAGUGUAGUUAAUAGCUGCAUUAUUUGACGUUAGCGACAGAAGAAGCACCGGCUAACUCCGUGCCAGCAGCCGCGGUAAUACGGAGGGUGCGAGCGUUAUCCGGAUUUAUUGGGUUUAAAGGGUCCGUAGGCGGGUUAAUAAGUCAGUGGUGAAAUCCCAUCGCUUAACGAUGGAACUGCCAUUGAUACUGUUAGUCUUGAAUGAGGGUGCAGUGGUUGGAAUGUGUAGUGUAGCGGUGAAAUGCAUAGAUAUUACACAGAACACCGAUUGCGAAGGCAGAUCACUAACCCUAAAUUGACGCUGAGGGACGAAAGCGUGGGGAGC